GUGCCAGAAGCUUCAAUAGCACAUACACUAAAACUUGAAUGAUACAGAGAUUAGCAUGGCCCCUGUGCAAGGAUGACACACAAAUUCGAAAAAGCGUUUCAUAUUUUU